AGAGUUUGAUCCUGGCUCAGAACGAACGCUGGCGGCAGGCCUAACACAUGCAAGUCGAGCGAGAAGGUUCUUUCGGGAACUGGAGAGCGGCGGACGGGUUAGUAACGCGUGGGAACGUGCCCUAAAGUCUGGGAUAACUAUUAGAAAUGAUAGCUAAUACCGGAUGGUCCCUUCGGGGUAAAGCUUUAGCGCUUUAGGAUCGGCCCGCGUUAGAUUAGGUAGUUGGUGAGGUAAUGGCUCACCAAGCCUACGAUCUAUAGCUGGUUUGAGAGGAUGAUCAGCAACACUGGAACUGAGACACGGUCCAGACUCCUACGGGAGGCAGCAGUGGGGAAUAUUGCGCAAUGGAGGAAACUCUGACGCAGCCAUGCCGCGUGAGUGAAGAAGGCCUUAGGGUUGUAAAACUCUUUCAACGGUGAAGAUGAUGACGGUAACCGUAGAAGAAGCACCGGCUAACUUCGUGCCAGCAGCCGCGGUAAUACGAAGGGUGCUAGCGUUGUUCGGAAUUACUGGGCGUAAAGGGCGUGUAGGCGGAUAUGUAAGUUAGGGGUGAAAUCCCGGGGCUCAACCUCGGAACUGCCUUUAAAACUACAUAUCUAGAAUCCAUGAGGGGAUAGUGGAAUAUCAAGUGUAGAGGUGAAAUUCGUAGAUAUUUGAUGGAACACCAGUGGCGAAGGCGACUAUCUGGCAUGGCAUUGACGCUGAGGCGCGAAAGCGUGGGGAGCAAACAGGAUUAGAUACCCUGUAGUCCACGCCGUAAACGAUGUAUACUAGCCGUCGGGGCUUUGGUCUCGGUGGCGCAGCUAACGCAUUAAGUAUACCGCCUGGGGAGUACGGUCGCAGAUUAAACUCAAGGAAUUGACGGG
rnacentral:rRNA from 1 species